rnacentral:lncRNA from 1 species
GCGGAUAUUAUGGCUAAUCAUGCCCGGAUCGAAGGGUGGUGGCCCUUUGCUAUUGAGGAUAUAAAGAUUGCGGUGUCUUUAGAUAUGGCGACUCAUAGUCGCGUUCGUUUGAAGAAUUGAUUACAUGGGGCUGUUUUGGAUUGGUCUAUUGGAGUGGUUGAUGCUCGGUUGGUUUACUACAGCGUCUUACCGACUGAGGUUCAACUAUUUUUUCUUUUUCUUGGAUGACGGCGACGGGCUCUCACCGGCCAUCAUCUUUGUUGCUUUGCGUGUUCUUAUUUCGGUUGUGACUUUUUGAGCCGGG